AGCGAACGCUGGCGGCAGGCCUAACACAUGCAAGUCGAACGAACCUUUCGGGGUUAGUGGCGGACGGGUGAGUAACACGUGGGAACGUGCCUUUAGGUUCGGAAUAACUCAGGGAAACUUGUGCUAAUACCGAAUGUGCCCUUCGGGGGAAAGAUUAAUCGCCUUUAGAGCGGCCCGCGUCUGAUUAGCUAGUUGGUUGAGGUAAUGGCUCACCAAGGCGACGAUCAGUAGCUGGUCUGAGAGGAUGAUCAGCCACAAUGGGACUGAGACACGGCCCAAACUCCUACGGGAGGCAGCAGUGGGGAAUCUUGCGCAAUGGGCGAAAGCCUGACGCAGCCAUGCCGCGUGAAUGAUGAAGGUCUUAGGAUUGUAAAAUUCUUUCACCGGGGACGAUAAUGACGGUACCCGGAGAAGAAGCCCCGGCUAACUUCGUG
rnacentral:rRNA from 1 species